rnacentral:rRNA from 1 species
CAGUAGCCGCGGUAAUACGGAGGGUGCAAGCGUUAAUCGGAAUUACUGGGCGUAAAGCGCACGCAGGCGGUUUGUUAAGUCUGCUGUGAAAUCCCCGGGCUCAACCUGGGAAUGGCAGUGGAUACUGGCAAGCUAGAGUGUGUCAGAGGAUGGUGGAAUUCCCGGUGUAGCGGUGAAAUGCGUAGAGAUCGGGAGGAACAUCAGUGGCGAAGGCGGCCAUCUGGGACAACACUGACGCUGAGGCACGAAAGCGUGGGGAGCAAACAGGAUUAGAUACCCCCGUAGUCCCUGUCUCUUAUAC